rnacentral:rRNA from 1 species
GACGAACGCUGGCGGCGUGCCUAAUACAUGCAAGUAGAACGCUGAAGCGAGGAGCUUGCUCUUCUUGGAUGAGUUGCGAACGGGUGAGUAACGCGUAGGUAACCUGCCUUGUAGCGGGGGAUAACUAUUGGAAACGAUAGCUAAUACCGCAUAACAAUGGAUGACACAUGUCAUUUAUUUGAAAGGGGCAAUUGCUCCACUACAAGAUGGACCUGCGUUGUAUUAGCUAGUAGGUGAGGUAAUGGCUCACCUAGGCGACGAUACAUAGCCGACCUGAGAGGGUGAUCGGCCACACUGGGACUGAGACACGGCCCAGACUCCUACGGGAGGCAGCAGUAGGGAAUCUUCGGAAAUGGGGGCAACCCUGACCGAGCAACGCCGCGUGAGUGAAGAAGGGUUUCGGAUCGUAAAGCUCUGUUGUAAGUCAAGAACGGGUGUGAGAGUGGAAAGUUCACACUGUGACGGUAGCUUACCAGAAAGGGACGGCUAACUACGUG